rnacentral:rRNA from 1 species
CAGUCGCCGCGGGAAUACGGAGGGUGCAAGCGUUAAUCGGAAUUACUGGGCGUAAAGCGCACGCAGGCGGUCUGACAAGUCAGAUGUGAAAUCCCCGGGCUUAACCUGGGAACUGCAUUUGAAACUGUCAGGCUGGAGUCUUGUAGAGGGAGGUAGAAUUCCAGGUGUAGCGGUGAAAUGCGUAGAGAUCUGGAGGAAUACCGGUGGCGAAGGCGGCCCCCUGGACAAAGACUGACGCUCAGGUGCGAAAGCGUGGGGAGCAAACAGGAUUAGAGACCCCAGUAGUCCCUGUCUCUUAUAC